UGCCAAACUUGGCAUGUGAUACCUUUUCAGAAAGCGCAAAGAGAGCUCUCCCAUGAAUGAGGAAGGAAAAUGGAAUUCUUAUAUUGUUUUUUUUUCUACUCCAAAUUGUGACCUAAAUGUACUUUUUCGGGCCUUUUCGUGAUCUUUGCUAUAUUACGGGGUGAAAAUUAUAUGUUCGGACAUUGGUUUCCAAUAUUUUGCAUGUAUCAAGGCUCUUACAAAAAGAUAGGGUAUUCCUACAUAGCUGGUGGGACCCACGCCAAAUGGAUCAUAAAGUCUUCAAAAAAGAAUAGAUACGAUUGCAUUGCAUGUAGUAACACAUGCGAUCAUACCAGCACUAAUGCACCGGAUCCCAUCAGAACUCCGCAGUUAAGGGUGCUUGGGCGAGAGUAGUACUAGGAUGGGUGACUUCCCGGAAAGUCCUCGUGUUGCAUCCCUCGUUUUUUUUGGUUUUUCUCUAUUUUGUUUUGUUAAAAAUGUAUGACUCGAUAACUUCUAUACCGA
rnacentral:rRNA from 1 species